GGGUUUUAUUUAUUAUUUUCAAUUUUUUAUUAAUACCUUUACGAAACCAGUUUUUAGACAUGUGAUAAAUAAAUUUGAAUUGGGUUAAUGUCAAGUUUUAUCCUUGAAUUUUAAUGUAAUAUUUAUACAAAUAUGCUAAAUUUUUUUGUGCAGACAUGGUGCCCUCAUUCAUUUUACAGUCUGAGACUAAUCCUAUUUAAAC
rnacentral:lncRNA from 1 species